rnacentral:lncRNA from 1 species
CACUUCGAAGCUGUAUUAAUCCAUCUUUGCGGACUAAUAAAUUAAUGCCGAUGACUCUUUCUCUUUAUGGUACAUUCAACAACAAGCUAUCAGUCUAGUGGUGAGUGCUCACAUCAAAACAACAAGUUUGUCAGAAUUUUUUUCCCGUUCUUAGAAGAAUUCUUUCAAAAAAUUGCUAGAACUGUUUAAAGCCAUAAGAGAGGGGAG